AAAACAAAACAAAAAUUAGGACACGAUAUGUUGUUAGUCUCGUCAAUCAUUCACUGCCUUUUAAGACAAAAAUAAGAGAGUGAAAUAUAAAUUAAUAUAUAUUAAAAGGGUCAGACAGGUACAUGGGUCAGACAGGUACAUGGGUCAGACAGGUUGUCACAGGAGAGGAGAGGAGGCACUGAGGGGUUUAAC